rnacentral:rRNA from 1 species
GAAAAGACAUCAACCGAGAUUCCGUUAGUAGUGGCGAGCGAACGCGGACCAGCCGAGCCUUGAGAGAUAGCAGAACCAGCUGGGAAGCUGGGCGACAUGGGUGACAGCCCCGUAUGCGACAUCUCGAUGGGACACAUCAAGUAGGGCGGGACACGUGCAAUCCUGUCUGAAGAUCGGGGGACCACCCUCGAAGGCUAAGUACUCCUUGCUGACCGAUAGCGAACAAGUACCGUGAGGGAAAGGUGAAAAGCACCCCGACGAGGGGAGUGAAAUAGACCUGAAACCGG